rnacentral:rRNA from 1 species
UCCUACGGGAGGCAGCAGUGGGGAAUAUUGCACAAUGGGCGCAAGCCUGAUGCAGCAACGCCGCGUGAGGGACGAAGGCCUUCGGGUUGUAAACCUCUUUUAGUAGGGAGGAAGCGACUGGGUUUUCCUGGGAGUGACGGUACCUGCAGAAAAAGCACCGGCUAACUACGUGCCAGCAGCCGCGGUAAUACGUAGGGUGCAAGCGUUGUCCGGAAUUAUUGGGCGUAAAGAGCUCGUAGGCGGUUUGUCGCGUCUGCUGUGAAAACCCGAGGCUCAACCUCGGGCCUGCAGUGGGUACGGGCAGACUAGAGUGCGGUAGGGGAGAUUGGAAUUCCUGGUGUAGCGGUGGAAUGCGCAGAUAUCAGGAGGAACACCAAUGGCGAAGGCAGAUCUCUGGGCCGUAACUGACGCUGAGGAGCGAAAGCAUGGGGAGCGAACAGGAUUAGAUACCCUGGUAGUCCAUGCCGUAAACGUUGGGAACUAGAUGUGGGGACCAUUCCACGGUCUCCGUGUCGCAGCUAACGCAUUAAGUUCCCCGCCUGGGGAGUACGGCCGCAAGGCUAAAACUCAAAGGAAUUGACGGGGGCCCGCACAAGCGGCGGAGCAUGCGGAUUAAUUCGAUGCAACGCGAAGAACCUUACCAAGGCUUGACAUAUACCGGAAACGGCUGGAAACAGUCGCCCCGCAAGGUCGGUAUACAGGUGGCGCAUGGUUGUCGUCAGCUCGUGUCGUGAGAUGUUGGGUUAAGUCCCGCAACGAGCGCAACCCUUGUCCUAUGUUGCCAGCACGUAAUGGUGGGAACUCAUGGGAUACUGCCGGGGUCAACUCGGAGGAAGGUGGGGAUGACGUCAAAUCAUCAUGCCCCUUAUGUCUUGGGCUUCACGCAUGCUACAAUGGCCGGUACAAAGGGCUGCGAUACCGCAAGGUGGAGCGAAUCCCAAAAAGCCGGUCUCAGUUCGGAUUGAGGUCUGCAACUCGACCUCAUGGAGUCGGAGUCGCUAGUAAUCGCAGAUCAGCAACGCUGCGGUGAAUACGUUCCCGGGCCUUGUACACACCGCC